rnacentral:rRNA from 1 species
AUGCAGAAACUAUUGCAUUCCACUGAAGGAGAGUACUCCAAAUUGUUUAACUAUCAGUUAGAGCUCCUAAGAACUAACCCUGGAAGCACGGUAGCAGUAAAGUUGGACCAAGAUGAAAAUGAUGAAUCAUAUGUAUUUCAAAGGUUCUACGUGUGUUUUGAUGCCUUGAAGAAAGCUCUCCUGGCAGGCUGUAGAAAAGUUGUAGGCCUUGAUGGUUGUUUUAAGGGUGCUUUCUAUGGACAGAUGUUGUGUGCUAUAGGAAGAGAUCCAAAUAACCAGAUGUAUCCUAUUGCUUGGGCAAUUGUCGAGAAAGAGGCAUAUGAGUCAUGGUUCUAGUUUCUUACGAAAAUAAACAAGGACUUGAAAACAAGUAAUCAAGGAGAUGGGUGGGUAUUUAUGCUAGAUUAGCAAAAGGGACUUAUAGGGGAAAUUGAGUACAUUUUUCCUAAAGCUGAGCAUAGAAUGUGUGCAAGACACAUAUAUGCUAAUUGUAAGAAAUAGCACCUUGACCAUGAACUUCAGAAAAGGUUUUGGAGAUGUGCAAAAUCUCCAAAUAGAGUGAUCUUCAACUACAAUAGGGCAAGGCUAGCACAAUUUAUUGUUGAGGGUGCAAAAGAUAUGAUGAACACUGGUCCAGUUCAUUGGAGUAGGGCCUACAUGAAACUGGGGUCCAAUUGUGAUUCAAUGGAUAACAACAUGUGUUUCAACAACUACAUCCUACUAGCUAGGUACCUUGCUAUUAUCUCUAUGCUUGAGUGGAUUAGAUGUAAAGUUAUGGUCAGGGUACAAGAAAAUAGAGGAAGUCAGUUAACUUGA